UUGAACAGGUGAGUUGAGGUCAUAGGUCAGACGAACCGUGUUUACAAUAGAUAAGAAAAUGCUGGCACGUUUCAACAUGUUCACACCACAUGUCUUUCACGGAUCAUUUUGACAUAUUGCUUUUCGUUGUACAAGCAGUGGCAUAUAGUCCCGUUUCUGUGUAAUCGCCCACAUCAGUGUAGAUAAAUAGCUUCCAAACGAUCGCCCAAACGGGCGGUAACUAGAGGGCACCGGCUAUUCCAGGGAGGUAGGGCCCAAGGCCAAUGAUUAUCCAGAAAACAAUUUUUAUCAGCUCUACUACUUAUUUGGCGGUUACGCCUAUUCAUGGUAACAUCAUAAUCACCCCCUCAGGCUAAAAGAGCCCACUCUCUACCGCCGGUGCCUGGUGGGGGGAGGAGGUAACGCUACAGGUGGGACUUCCCCGGAAAAAUCCACUUUUAUCGGGAAUCGCCCUUCUGAUUGGUCGCCUGGGUCAGGUGACCACCGGUGAUCUACCUGUUGUGUUUGACAUGCAAAGUUUCACCUAGCGCGGGCAGGCUGGGUCUUGGGUGUCACACACCUUUGUUCUACCUUCCGCGGCCGGGUCCUGUGUGUCCCUGCCGUCAUAGCUGCGUAGGAGGCCCCUAUCUGCAGUAGUAACUCUAGGGGGAACUUGCCGGGAAUGCCCGACGAGGCUUACGUGAGUUACACGCUAGGUGACACCAACCAUGGCAACGGUAGCGUGAUGGACGGGAGCCGGAGACGAUUUCUGGGACCUCCCUUUACCGUCGGUAUCGGGGGCCCUCCCCCUAUCAUCCAAACUAUGGCGCCCAGGCCGUCACUCGUGAGCCACGUACAGGUUCCUGUCACCAUGCUAUACAGCAAUGGUGCACUGAGACCAGCUGGUACAGUCCAAGCAGUGCCGCAAACGGCGUCCACAGGUAACACCGAAGCGCUGAACAUGACCAAACGGAGACUCGAACAGAGCGAGAACGAAAAGCUCCCGCCCAAGAAGAGGAAAACAAACUUUGUGCAGCACGACGAGGAGAGAUCGGCUCCCAGUCCGACCACAAGCACCAACUCGGGGGAAGGCAGCAGUCAUGUCAGGUUGAACGACAAACCCAUGGACUUACGAGUGAAGCAAGAGCCGAGGACACAACCACAGUGUCAACAAGGCGCCUCCACCACGGCGGCCCCGGCGGCUCUGCCGGCCAUCCCCACGCCGACGCACGGCCCGGUGCGUGCCGCCGUCCCCGUGCCCUUCCCCGGCCCGACGGUGGUGGAUCCCCGGGUAGGCAUCGUCUCCGGGGCGGAGAUACAGAUGGCGUCAUGGCAGGACGAGGACGGCGACACGCCUCUUCACAUCGCUGUAGUUCAGGGGAACAUCCCCCUGAUCGAGCGGCUGCUGACGCUGUUGAGUCUCGGGAACAAGAGUGUGGAUACCUACAAUCAUCUCAGACAGGCUCCCUUACAUUUGGCUGUCAUCACAAGUCAGUGGCCGAUAGUUCGCAUGCUGGUGCUUGCCGGCGCAUGCGCGGACCUGCAGGACAGGAACGGUCAGACGGCGGUGCACCUGGCCUGUCAGCGGGCCAGCAUGACCUGUCUGCACACCCUCAUCACCUGCACUAAACACCAGCUGGACCUCGACAUCAGGAACUAUGAGGGUUUGACGCCGCUACAUAUCGCAGUGAACACUGGGAACAAAGAUGUCGUCGCAUUCCUUGUGGAGAGCGGGGCAGACAUUGAAGCAACGGACGGUAAAAGCGGCAGAACAGCCCUGUUCUACGCAGUAGAAGGGAACCAAGAGGACAUCGUUGAGUACCUCCUCGGGGCGGGCGCUAAGGUAAACUCCCAGUGCUACGCAGGGAACACACCGCUCCACACGGCCAGCGGACGGGGACAGCAGAACAUGGUGAAGAUGCUGAUCAAGCACGGAGCAGACAUCGGCGUCAAGAACUGUCACAACGACACGCCACUGGCCGUGGUCAACAACAAAACGAUAAGUCAGAUGCUGAGAGGAAGAUUCAAACCCGCCGCAACAUCAUCAACAACUAAGGCUCCCACUCAGACGUUACCAAUCACCGCCUUCAAACUCGCCGGCCUGAAGGUACCACCUGUUCUCCGCAAGGUGGCGCAACUGAAGGACACUCCCAGCGCACAAAACAGCCCACAGUCAUCCACGGACAGUCAGUCUCGAGAGGGGACCCCAAAAAUGUCGGAACAAUCACCUGCAGCUAGUAGCGCUUCUGAGGGCCCGACAUAGUACACCAUGCAAUAUCUACAUGUAUAUGCAAUAUGGAAAUUGGUGUAAAGCUCCCCUACAUUGCUGAAACAUAAAAAACUAGGUUGCUCCAAGUUGAUAUAAAAUACCAGUUUUAAUACGAUGGCGUUAUACACAAGGUUACAUGGCUUUCAAGUUUAGACUUGCAAGUUCCGCUAUGAUUUCAUUAAAGCACGUUUGCAGUCAACAUUUUUGGAUGUUUUAAGUAGUCAUAAAGUCUUAUACCUUAGCAACCAAGUUUCAUCAUAUUGAAAUUUAAAACACUAUGGACCACUCAUCAAACUAUUUUUGUAUGCUUCAAGUAGGAAAAAAAAGGAGACUGCAAAAAACAACAUGCAAAACGACUUGUGUGAAAGGAGGGGGAAGUAAUUCUAGUUCAGCAAAAGUAGCCGUAGGUGUUCAGCCAAAGAACUGAAGGUCAACUGUGUCAGAAGUUGUAUACUCCAUGUAUAAGGUAAGCUAUUGCCUACUUUGAGUAAGUGAGGCAUUAUACACCCUUUUGCUAUGCACUAAAUGAAGUCCUGGUGUAAUUGUGGAAUUUUUAUUAUGUUAAUUUGUUGAUUCAACAACUGUAAAUAAUAUGAAGAGGUGUUCUCAUUUAAUUGAUGAUGAUAUGAUACAAAUUUAUUUGUCAUGAUAAAA